rnacentral:tRNA from 1 species
GUGGGUAUAGUUCAAUGGUAGAACAUCUGUAUGUGGCAUAGUAUAUCCUUGUUCAAAUCAAGGUAUCCACC